AAUAGAUACCCCGGUAGUCCACACCGUAAACGAUGAGCGCUAGGUGUUGGGGGUCGAACCUCAGUGCCGCAGCUAACGCAUUAAGCGCUCCGCCUGGGGAGUACGCACGCAAGUGUGAAACUCAAAGGAAUUGACGGGGACCCGCACAAGCAGCGGAGCAUGUGGUUUAAUUCGAAGCAACGCGAAGAACCUUACCUGGGCUUGACAUCCCUCUGACCGCUCCUUAACCGGAGCCUUCCCUUCGGGGACAGAGGUGACCGGUGGUGCAUGGUUGUCGUCAGCUCGUGUCGUGAGAUGUUGGGUUAAGUCCCGCAACGAGCGCAACCCUCGUCUUUAGUUGCCAGCAGUUCGGCUGGGCACUCUAGAGAGACUGCCGGGGAUAACUCGGAGGAAGGUGGGGAUGACGUCAAAUCAUCAUGCCCCUUAUGUUCAGGGCUACACACGUGCUACAAUGGCCAAUACAAAGGGUUGCCAAGGAGUAAUCUGGAGCUAAUCCCAUAAAGUUGGUCCCAGUUCGGAUUGUGGGCUGAAACUCGCCCA
rnacentral:rRNA from 1 species